rnacentral:rRNA from 1 species
AUUGAACGCUGGCGGCAGGCCUAACACAUGCAAGUCGAACGAGUGGCGGACGGGUGAGUAAUGUCUGGGAAACUGCCUGAUGGAGGGGGAUAACUACUGGAAACGGUAGCUAAUACCGCAUACCAUCAGAUGUGCCCAGAUGGGAUUAGCUAGUUGGUGGGGUAACGGCUCACCAAGGCGACGAUCCCUAGCUGGUCUGAGAGGAUGACCAGCCACACUGGAACUGUGACACGGUCCAGACUCCUACGGCAGGCAGCAGUGGGGGAUCUCACCCAAUGGGCGCAAGCCUGAUGCAGCCAUGCCGCGUGGAUGAAGAAGGCCUUCCGAUUGUAAAGUACUUUCAGCGGGGAGGCGUUACCCACAGAAGAAGCGCCGGCUAACUCCGUGCCAGCAGCCGCGGUAAUAC